ensembl:lncRNA
AUGACCACCACUGGGCCAAGCUCUGCUGGACACCUCGGUGCCCCCCUGUCCUACCCCAGGCACCCGAGAGGUGGGGGACCCGCUCUCCACGGGCUCCAAAAACCCAGGCCCCAUCUGCGGAAACUUUCUAGACACGGAGGCCACGAGGCCCAUGCAGCAGGGUGGACAUGGGGAGGACUGCAGGCCUCAGGGCCCGCCCUCCACUCUCCACGCUGGCCCGGCAGGGCCUCCCCAGCUCCGACGCUGGCCCACAGCUGGCUCCUGGCUGCAGGUCCAUCCUCCGCCCCCAGAAAAGGCUUGGAGGAAACUCAUCCAGGGAUUUUCCACCCCAGGAGCUCUUUUUCCACAGAAGUUGGAGUGUCUUCGGGGAGGGAGCAGGACAGCUUCACCUGUGGGCAGGGGAUAGGGUCUGUGCCCAGAGGGUGGGUGGUGCGGGGCUGCCUGUGCCCCCGUCCCCGCGGCUGCGGGGUUUCCGGCAUGCCCUCCCAGGCCUCCUCCCGGGGUGUGGUGUUGGAAGGCGGCCUCGCUGGAAACACUGAGGGCCCAAGCCCUCCAAGCAUCUGUGGAACAAAGACAGUUUUUAUUUCUUUCUACUGCUCCCACUACCCAGCGAAUUUUCCUCCAAAAUUAGAACAUGAUUCAUCCGGGAGGACCCUGUUUCCAGGGGUACACAUGCGGUUUCCAUGGUGGCCGCCCUGUACGGCCGCUGGACGUGGUACAGGGACAGACCCAAGCACACCUGCCCCUCGAAGAGCACAGCUCAAAUCGGGGGCGCAGCCCUCAGCUCCUGUCCCGGCACCUGGGCACUGGCGGCCAUCCCCUCCCCCUCCCACCUUUGUCGGGGUGAACGCAGUUCCAUCCCCUCCUCCCUUUGAGGGACCUGGGGGUCUGGCUGGCCCAUGUAUUCGCUGGGCACUAGGGUGGCGCCUGGACCCAGCCUGUUUGCCGAAUGCCAAUGAGUCUGCCAGCGGAGGCAGCCUGUGGUUGGAUCCUCUCGGGGCUUGGGUGAGGCUGGUUCCAGAGCCAUGGGUGGGGAAGGUGCAGCCUGUCCUGGUGUCCAGCGCAGGUGUGAUGCCUCAAUGCUGGUCUCUCUGA